rnacentral:rRNA from 1 species
AUUGAACGCUGGCGGCAGGCCUAACACAUGAAAGUCGAGCGAGCGGCGGACGGGUGAGUAAUGUAUGGGGAUCUGCCCUAUUGAGGGGCAUCACUACUGGAAACUGUGGCUAAUCCCGCAUUCUAUCGGCUUAACCCCUAUGGGAUUAGCUAGUAGGUGGGGUAAAGGCUCACCUAGGCGACGAUCUCUAGCUGGUCUGACAGGAUGAUCACCCACACUGGGACUGAGACACGGCCCAGACUCCUACGGGAGGCAGCAGUGGGGAAGAUUGCACAAUGGGCGCAAGCCUGAUGCAGCCAUGCCGCGUGUAUGAAGCAGGCCUUAGGGUUGUAAAGUACUUUCAGCGGGGAGGCGUUACCCUCAGAAGAAGAACCGGCUAACUCCGUGCCAGCAGCCGCGGUAAUUC